GACGAACGCUGGCGGCGUGCCUAACACAUGCAAGUCGAGCGGAGCCAAUUAACAGAUCCCUUCGGGGUGACGUUGAGGAAGCUUAGCGGCGAACGGGUGAGUAACGCGUGAGAAACCUGCCUCUCAGUGGGGGACAACAGUUGGAAACGACUGCUAAUACCGCAUAACACUUUAGUACCGCAUGGUACAGAAGUCAAAGCUUUAUGUGCUGAGAGAUGGUCUCGCGUCUGAUUAGAUAGUUGGUGAGGUAACGGCUCACCAAGUCGACGAUCAGUAGCCGGACUGAGAGGUUGAACGGCCACAUUGGGACUGAGACACGGCCCAGACUCCUACGGGAGGCAGCAGUGAGGGAUAUUGCACAAUGGGCGAAAGCCUGAUGCAGCAACGCCGCGUGAGGGAUGACGGUUUUCGGAUUGUAAACCUCUGUCUUCAGUGACGAAUCAAUGACGGUAACUGAGGAGGAAGCCACGGCUAACU
rnacentral:rRNA from 1 species